rnacentral:rRNA from 1 species
UUGAUCAUGGCUCAGAUUGAACGCUGGCGGCAUGCUUUACACAUGCAAGUCGAACGGUAACAGGGAGCUUGCUCCGCUGACGAGUGGCGAACGGGUGAGUAAUGCAUCGGAACGUGCCGUGUAGUGGGGGAUAACGUAGCGAAAGUUACGCUAAUACCGCAUACGCCCUGAGGGGGAAAGUGGGGGACCGCAAGGCCUCACGCUAUACGAGCGGCCGAUGUCGGAUUAGCUAGUUGGUAGGGUAAAGGCCUACCAAGGCGACGAUCCGUAGCGGGUCUGAGAGGAUGAUCCGCCACACUGGGACUGAGACACGGCCCAGACUCCUACGGGAGGCAGCAGUGGGGAAUUUUGGACAAUGGGCGCAAGCCUGAUCCAGCCAUGCCGCGUGAGUGAAGAAGGCCUCGGUUGUAAGACUCUUCUAGACGGAAGAAAUACGGUGUGUCUAUACACGCACUGGAUGACGGUACCGUAAGAAGAAGACACCGGCUAACUACGUG